CUUCCUUGUAUUAUCAUUGCUGUGCCCCCAUUAUUAGUUUUCCUGGCGUUGUUCUCUUUUUGUUUUUUAUGGUUAGGUUAGGUUAGGUUAGCAAAUAUGGAAGGUGUUGGUUCUGAGUUUAUUGAAAGUGCUCAAAUAUCAACAGACCUUUUGAGACGAUACCUUGUCAGUCGCGGACAGCGAUUUUCUUCCCUAGAGUGCAGAAGUUUAUCAGUUAUAUCGGGAGCUGAAUUCACGGAGAUCGUUUCGCCAACCAGUGUAGUUCUGACAUCGAACGGAACCCCGGUGCGAAUCAGCAGACUAGUUGUAAAACCUGACGGUGACUACUCCUUCGAGUGUCUAUUCGGUGGAACAGCGCACAAUGGCAACUGCUUCAGAAAUUUGCAGCUGUUGGACACGCACGUCGAGGACAUGUUGCCGGAGUCAGGCCUGAAAUUCUGCCCUGGGAUUGAGGACCAGAAGACCAUUUUCUCGUCUGUGAGAUUUGACUCCAAGCAGUUGAGACGCUGGAGUUUCCCCUUUCAGCGAGUGGACUCUAAUGGUUGCACGAUCAUGCACAGAGUUAAGCGUAGCGCUAUAGGAGAAACGGCCUUGCCUAUUGUUGCGUGUACCAGCUGCAAGCGUUUGAGGCGGCAGCUGCUUGUCCUCAAGAGCCGUGCUGAAGAGCGAUCUGAAGCAGAUACAAAGAGAGAUUACAAAAAGAGAAAGCAGCAGCACAAGCAAAAGCAAGAGCAAAAGCAAAGAAGACGCAGCAGUAGUAGUAGCAGCAGCAGGGUGCCUUCUUUUUGAUGGUUGCUGUUGCUAAUUUGGAUUAGAAUAAAAACGAUUCGCACGCUAGCAGCAUGGUGCAUACCCAAUAUGAGUAUUUUAGUUACAUGCCAACAAAGUAGGUAUAGCUCUGUGUACUUGGUCUUGCACAAUACACACUGGCAGCCUCCUCUCUCUCUCUCUCUCUAUCUCUCUCUCUCUCUCUCUCUCUCUCUCUCUCUCUCUCUCUCUCUCUCUCUCUCUCUCUCUCUCUCUCUCUCUCUCUUUCCUCUCGCCCUCUCUCCCCAUGGUGCCUACUGUGUACACCGAACCCGAGACCCUUGGUCGGAGGAGUUCACCGCACCUCAAGAGCACACCUUAUGUAGCGCCUACACACCCGUUGUUGCAUCUUUGCUUUGUUUUGUUUCCCUAUCUUCCAUAUGUGCACUGUGAUAGAAAUAGUCAAAACAAUGAUUUGCCCGAUUAUAUUAUAGUCCACAACUUCAAGUUUCAUGCUACCUCAGGUAAUCAUCAGGUGUUCAGGAGAACACUGCUGGUUCCGCAGCUUCUGGUGCAUUUCCAUUACAUACCUGUUAAGUACAAACAGUGCUUUUCCGGGAUCGUCAAUCCAAAAUCUCGGUCCUUUUUUUGCCUCAUUUUUUCGGGAUGACAUUUUUUUCCGUAAUUCAUUCAUUUUCAACUUUUUAUGGUGACGCCGUUGAUCAGAUAAUGAUGUAAAAGACCCAUUUUACACAUGUUAUACAAUCACAUGUACAUGUACCAUAAGCCUUUCAGAGACAAAAACUUCAAUAUCGCCUCCAGGACAAACUGUGCGUAACCAUU